rnacentral:rRNA from 1 species
AACGAACGCUGGCGGCAUGCCUAACACAUGCAAGUCGAACGAUUGCCUUCGGGUGAUAGUGGCGCACGGGUGCGUAACGCGUGGGAAUCUGCCCUUAGGUUCGGUAUAACAGCUGGAAACGGCUGCUAAUACCGGAUGAUAUCGCGAGAUCAAAGAUUUAUCGCCUGAGGAUGAGCCCGCGUUGGAUUAGGUAGUUGGUGGGGUAAAGGCCUACCAAGCCGACGAUCCAUAGCUGGUCUGAGAGGAUGAUCAGCCACACUGGGACUGAGACACGGCCCAGACUCCUACGGGAAGCAGCAGUGGGGAAUAUUGGACAAUGGGCGCAAGCCUGAUCCAGCAAUGCCGCGUGAGUGAUGAAGGCCCUAGGGUUGUAAAGCUCUUUUACCCGGGAAGAUAAUGACUGUACCGGGAGAAUAAGCCCCGGCUAACUCCGUG